ACCCGACUCAGUGGCGCACGCCUGUGGUCCCAGCUACUAGGGAGGCUGAGGCUGGAGGAUUGCUGGAGCCCAGGAGUUCUGGGCUACAGUGCGCUAUGCCGAUCGGGUGUCCGCACUAAGUUCAGUAUCAAUAUGGUGACCUUCCGGGAACGGGGGACCACCAGGUUGCCUAAGGAGGGGUGAACUGGCCCAGGUAGGAAACGGAGCAGGUCAAAACUCCCGUGCGGAUCAGUAGUGGGAUCUCGCCUGUGAAAAGCCACUGCACUCCAGCCUGGGCAACACAGUGAGACCCCAUCUCAU
rnacentral:SRP_RNA from 1 species